AACACACUGGUGGUGUUGUUGGUCGACGACAAGCAAGAACAAAAGGGGGAAAACCCUAGCUUUCAAGAAUUCUCAAGAUUUGGAAGGAAUUGAGAGCCCAAAUCGAUGCAAGAACCCGAAUUGUCAACCAUCUAAGUUCUAACAACAAUAGGCGUGAAGGAGGAAAGCUCUAACACUAGUAAAGCGGAAGGAGCACAAGAUCGAGGUAAAGCACCUCUAUAGGCGAUUUGGAGAUAUGGGACGAGCACAUGUUCAAGCCUUAAGAUACCAUGCGCUUCCGCAACUUAUAUGCAUGCUUUUGGAUCGUGUUUAUUACUUGUUGACUUGUUGAAAUGUGUUAGAAUUAAAAACU